rnacentral:rRNA from 1 species
AUGCCGUCCCACAGAUCAGCAGCUGCAGCUGCACCUGUACUAGCAGUGCUAGUAGUAUGGCUCGGCGGGGUGCUGCUUGGAGUUGGAGCAGCACUGCCCACACAGCCUAGCAGCAGGUGCCAGAGAGAAUGCGGCGGCGUACACAUCCCUUACCCGUUCGGCAUCGUCGGGCCCGGGCCCGAAUCGCCCGAUCCCGACAACUGCGCCAUGCCUGGCUUCGGCCUGACCUGCAACGAGACCGGGGUUAAUGGUGGCCGCACGCCAUUUUAUUACGACCUGGAGGUCGUCGGCGUCUCGCUGCAGCAGGGUCAGGCCCGGAUGAAGAUGAGCAUCUCAACCUACUGCUACAACAACGCCACCCAGGGCAUGGACCCCGUCCCGUGGGGGCUCGACCUCACGGGCACGCCCUACAGGUUCGCCCACACCAACAAGUUCACCGUCAUCGGCUGCCAGACGCUGGCGUACAUCGUGGGCGAGCGCGCCGACGAGUACACCAGCGGCUGCGUGGCCAUGUGCCGGAGGGGAGGCGACGGCGACGUCAGGUCGGCCUCACCAACGGCUCCUGCUCCGGGAUAGGGUGCUGCCAGACUGCCAUCCCCAGGGGGCUGCAGUACUACGACGUGAGGUUCCCCUCCACCUUCAACACCACGGAGAUCCACGACGUCAGCCCCUGCAGCUACGCCGUGCUCAUGGACGACUCCGACUUCACCUUCCAAGCGAGCUACGCGACCUUGCCGGGGUUCAACAACACCUUCACCGGAGAGGCGCCGCUCGCGGUGGACUGGGUUGUCGGAGAGGAGUCGUGCGACGCGGCGCGCAAGGAUCCCUCCCCUACGCUUGCCUCGGCGACCACAGCGAGUGCUUCGACUCGCUCAAUGGACCCGGCUACUUCUGCAACUGCUUCAAAGGCUUCCACGGCAAUCCUUACCUGCAAGAUCCGGAGCUAGGAUGCAAAGAUAUUAACGAGUGCAUGGACCUGGUGAAAUACCCUUGCAAUGUGCCUGGAACUUGCCAAAAUUUUCUUGGCGGAUUCGAGUGUCGUUGCCCCAAGCAUACCAAAGGCGACGCCCAAAAUGGGACGUGCGACGGAAACCACACAUUUGGUAUUGGAGAAAAUCUCGGCAUUGGAGCCUUUGGCGUUGUUUUGGUUGGCCUGGUUUGUAUCCUCGCAGUAGAAAUCAUCCGUCACAAAAGGAGUAUCAAAAGACAAGAUCUGAUUAGACAGAGUGACGAAUACUUUCAACAGCACAGAGGCCAGAUACUGUCAGAAAUGAUGGGGGUAGAGCGUAACAUCGGGUUCACCGUCUAUGCCCGAGGAGCGAUCGAGGUAGCAACAAACGUGUUCGACAAGGAGAGCAUCAUCGGGGAAGGAGGGCAGGGGACCGUGUACAAGGCGGUCCUCGACGUCGAAGGCAAGGCCACACUUGUGGCAGUAAAAAGAUGCAAGGAGGUGGACGAGAGCAAGAGGAAGGACUUCGUGCAGGAGUUGGUGAUACUCGGCCGCGUCGACCAUCCCAACAUCGUCAAGCUCCUCGGUUGCUGCCUGCAGUUCGAGGUGCCCAUCCUGGUGUACGAGUACGUGAAGAACAAAACCCUGCAGGAGCUAUUGUAUAGCCAGCCGACCUCGUGUCGCGCCACCCUGGGGGCCCGUCUGAGGAUCGCCGUGCAGGCCGCCGGAGCACUGGCGUACCUGCACUCGCUGGCGCACCCGAUACUCCACGGCGACGUGAAGCCCGCCAACAUCCUUCUCAGCGACGGAUGGGGCGCCAAGGUGUCUGACUUCGGAUGCUCCACCAUCGAUGAGAAGACCCAGGUGGUGGCCAGAGGCACAGCGGGCUACGUUGACCCAGAGUACCUGCUUAAGUACCAGGUCACCCACAAGAACGACGUCUGCAGCUUUGGGGUCCUCCUUCUGGAGCUCCUAACCGGGAAGAAGCCGAUGUCAAAGCAACGGAAGAGCCUCAUGGUGAUGGUUCAGGAGUCUAUGGAGGAUGGCACGCUCCAUGAACUCCUUGAAAGUGAAAUAGUCGGUGAUGCUAGCAUGGGAGUGGCCCUUCAGGCUGUGGAGCUGGCGAAUCGAUGCUUAGGUAUGCCGGGGAACAGGAGGCCUGCGAUGAGGCGCGUUGCAGAGGAGCUCAAGCAGCUUGCUGACCAAGUGCAGCAGCCGUUGGUUUUGGAGUGUCACAGCCUCACUGUCACAGAUAUGGGGAGCUCCAUGUCAUCUGAGAAUGACACCACCGGGGUUUUUAGCCUUGAGAAGAAAGCUGCAUUGAGCAUAGAAUCCGCUAGAUGA